rnacentral:rRNA from 1 species
CAGUAGCCGCGGUAAAACGUAGGUGGCAAGCGUUGUCCGGAAUUAUUGGGCGUAAAGGGCUCGCAGGCGGUUUCUUAAGUCUGAUGUGAAAGCCCCCGGCUCAACCGGGGAGGGUCAUUGGAAACUGGGAAACUUGAGUGCAGAAGAGGAGAGUGGAAUUCCACGUGUAGCGGUGAAAUGCGUAGAGAUGUGGAGGAACACCAGUGGCGAAGGCGACUCUCUGGUCUGUAACUGACGCUGAGGAGCGAAAGCGUGGGGAGCGAACAGGAUUAGAUACCCGUGUAGUCCCUGUCUCUUAUAU